GAUUAUAAAAAACGCAUUUUAUUAAACUAAAAAUUUUAGACGCUAAUGGGUAAAAUACAACUAAACAUUAUUUUUUCGGAAAAUUGAAGAUGCAUCAUAAAGCAUUAAAAUACAAUUAUAAUGAUCAUCAAAUCCGAAUGAAUUAUAGUUGUUUUCUCCUUUUUUUGGGAUCUUUGCUUCCACUGAUUAUGUUGAGUACACCAAACAAAUUCUCUUGAAAAUUCUUCAUAUUUGUACUUCCUUGGAUCACCAUCCAUCCAACUUUGCAAUUUAGAUCUUGAAUUUGUAGAUAGAAAUGUAACGUCUUCUCUAACAUCGUCUACAACAAAACAACCAAUAUAACAACUAAAUAUAAAAUUUUAAUGAAUAAUCAAUCUAAAAUUUAAACAAAAAUUAAAAUACCUAAACCAUAAGGUGAUGUAACCAUAGACAAAGGUGCGGUAUUCUUUGACAUUACCUUCCAAACAAGCCCUACACGAACAGGAAAACGGAAAUUAGAGGAUGAUGAAUAAAAGGAAGAACAAAGUUCAGUAUAUCAUCCAUCGAAUUGCUUUCCAUCCAAUUUUGCAAUUUAG
rnacentral:lncRNA from 1 species